rnacentral:rRNA from 1 species
AACGAACGCUGGCGGCAUGCCUAACACAUGCAAGUCGAACGAGACCUUCGGGUCUAGUGGCGCACGGGUGCGUAACGCGUGGGAACCUGCCCUUAGGUUCGGAAUAACUCCCCGAAAGGUGUGCUAAUACCGGCUAAUGUCUUCGGACCAAAGAUUUAUCGCCUUUGGAUGGGCCCGCGUUGGAUUAGCUAGUUGGUAGGGUAAAAGCCUACCAAGGCGACGAUCCAUAGCUGGUCUGAGAGGAUGAUCAGCCACACUGGGACUGAGACACGGCCCAGACUCCUACGGGAGGCAGCAGUGGGGAAUAUUGGACAAUGGGCGAAAGCCUGAUCCAGCAAUGCCGCGUGAGUGAUGAAGGCCUUAGGGUUGUAAAGCUCUUUUACCCGGGAUGAUAAUGACAGUACCGGGAGAAUAAGCUCCGGCUAACUCCGUG